rnacentral:lncRNA from 1 species
UCUAAACCAACGUUCCUCCCUCGUCAUCUCUAGAGAAAGAGAGAGAAAAGCUUCAUGAAAUACCGGCCAGAAAUACAGUCAGAAGGUUAAUCAACAAAUAUUCAAACAUGAAACGAAAUUUUAAUAUUCACUUAUUUUUAUAAGAUAAUGAAAAUUCAUAAUGCAUCUGUAAUACUAACAUUCUUGGGGUGUGACAGUCUAUCUUUAACAAAACCAAAAUUUCUUUUACAUAUUGUACAAGACUGUCAGAUUUUUCAUUCAAAAAUUUUAAAUUUGUACAAAGUCUACUUACAACUUAUAUUAACAUGAAUGUUCAUUUAUAUACAUCUUUGAUAGGACAAAAGUUACAAAUGUAAGUUUAACUGUGACUACAAACUUCUUCAUAGCUACUUCUGUUGUACUUUCAAACAAUAAGGCUGCAAUUUAUUCUGAAAAUAAUUCACAAGAGUUUGAUGAAUUUGGCUACUCAGUAAGUUACCAUUAUAAUCCUUAAAAAUAAUCAUGGUUGAUAAAUGUAGAUAUUUUCUAAAAAAAUGCAUAUUAAAAUAAUACGAGGAAAACCAUACAAUGAGAACUAUUUCGAAUUUUUCAAUUGAAAUAUGUAGUUUUAACAUAAUUUCAAAGAUUUGAAUACAUAUUGAAUAAUACGAAAAAUAAUAUUAUUUUUAUGAGAAUAUUAUGAGAGAAAUAAUUAUUUGUUAUGAGAGAAAGAGCAUGAGAAGAGAGAGAGACAAAAUCGUUAAGAGAGAGAAUAAUGACUUACAUAGGGAGGAGAGAGAAAGACCAAUUGUGAUGGGCUAAUGAUGGGCCUAUGAGGGAUAUUUGUAAGUGAAGAUGACCAAUCUUCAUUUGACACUUGUCAAACAUGUAUCUUUUUUUUUACUUACAUAUGUGCCAUCGUAUGACACAUUAUUAUCUUAUAACAAUACUUUAUGACACAUCAUCCUCUUAUAAUGUCACCUUAUAACACAUCACUAUCUUACAAUGACGCAUCAUCCUCUUAUAAUGCCAUCUUAUGACACAUCAUUUUAUGUUUAAAUAUAUUAACUUAAUUAAAACAAACGUGAAAAGGGAAAGUUUAGGGUGGUCCCAUGGUGUAUUCAUAACAUAGUGAACUAUCAUUCAAAAUUAUAAAUAUUUUAUAUUUUUAUUAUUAUUUUUCAGUUUCAAAUAUAUUUAGGAUCAUCACAUUCUCCCCCCCCUUAAAAAAAUUUAGUCCUCUAAAUUUUUGUACCUGAUUACUGAAAAAGAUGGGGAUAUUUCUCAUUGAUUUCAUUUUCUUGUUCCCAAGUGGCUUCUUCUAAGGAAUGAUGUUGCCACAAAAUUUUUAUUAAUGAUAUCACCUUGGAUCUCAACACUUGCUCUUUUCAAUCGAGAAUUUGAAUGGGUUGCUCGGCGUAUGUUAAGUUAUCUCUAAUUUGGAGAGGUUCAUGGUUAAUGAUGUAUGACGGGUCAAACUCAUAUCUUCGUAACAUUGACACAUGAAACGCAUAAUCAGUGUUUGAUAAUUCAGGGGGCAAGGCAAUUAUAUAUGCCAUCUCUCCAAUCCUUUCUAAGAUUUCAAAAUGUCCAAUAAACCUUGGGCUUAAUUUUCCCUUUUUUCCAAAUCUCAUUAUAUCCUUGGAAGGAGAUACCUUCAUAAAUACAUGGUUUCCCACUUGAUAUUCCAAGUUUCUUCGAUGCUUAUCUGUAUAAUUUUUCUGUCUAAUUUGAGCACUUUAAAGUCUUUUCCGAAUGAGCUUAAUCUUAUUGGUAGUUUCUUGAACAAACUCUGGUCCCAUAAAUUUUAUUUCCCCUUCAUCAUCCCAACAGAUAGUUGAUCUACACUUUCUUCCAUAUCUUCCGUAUAAUGCCUCAUAUGGUGCCAUUUUCAUACUAGACUGAUAGCUAUUAUUGUAGGCAAAUUCGAUCAAAGGCAAAUGAUCAUCCCAAUUUCUUUUAAAAUCCAUCACACAAGCUCGAAGUAUAUCUUCUAAAGUCUGAAUUGUUCUUUUUUAUUGUCCAUCAGCUUGAGGAUGAAAUGCCGUACUAAAAUUUACCUUCGUACUCAUGGUUUUUUUGUAAACUUUUCCAAAAUUGAGUGGUAAAUUGGGGAUCUCUAUCAGACACAGUUGUUAUUGGGGUCCCAUACAAUUUCACAAUUUAUCGAAUAUAUAGUCUUGCCAGGUUAUCUAAUGAACCUGUUACUCUGAUGGCUAGAAAAUGAGCAAAUUUGGUUAGUCUAUCCACAAUUACCCAAAUUGGAUUGUGACUAUUCUUUGUUUUGGGUAGGCCUGUAACAAAAUCCAUAGUUAUGUGCUCCUAUUUCCAGUCAGGAAUGGGUAAGGAUUAUAAAAUACCUACAGGUUUUUGGUGGUCUGCCUUAAUUUGUUGGCACACCAGGCACUUACACACAAAUUCAACAAUCUCUUUUUUCAUAUUGUUCCACCAAUAAUGGCUUCAUAGAUUCUGAUACAUUUUAUUACUACUAGGACACACAACAUAUCGAGAUCGAUGAGCUUCAUCCAAAAUCUCCCUUUUAAAAUUUUCAUUAUUUGGAACUUAAAGUCUCCAUCUGAAUCUUAAUAUGCCAGCUUGUUGGAUUUCAAAAAUCUGGUAUUGACCCUUUGGUUAAUUUUUCCAUGAUUGCUACCAUCUGAGUGUCGCUUAUUUGUGCCUCUCUAAUUCUCAGAAUAAGAGUUGGCUUUACACAUAAAUUAGCAACAAUGGUGUCGGAAUCCUUUAAAUGAAAUUCUGAGUUCCAAUCUUUAAUUUCUUCCAGUAGUCGCCACUCUUUAAUCAUUAGAUGAGCUAGAACUUCUGCAGACUUCCUACUUAGAGUAUCUGCUACAACAUUAGCUUUACCUGAAUGGUAAUGGAUUGUACAAUCAUAUUCUUUUAGAAAAUCCAUUCAUCUUACCUGUCGUAUAUUUAAAUCUUUCUGAGAAAAGAGGUAUGUCAAACUCUUAUGAUCUGUAUAUAUUUCAAAUUGUUCACCAUAUAGAUAAUGUGUCUAUAUCUUCAAAGCAAAUACUAUUGGAGCUAGUUCUAAGUCAUGGGUUGGGUACCUCUUCUCAUAUUCUUUCAAUUGUCUAAAUGCAUAUGCCACUACCUUAACAUGUUGCAUUAAUAUAUAGCCUAAGCCUUUGUGUGAAUCAUCACUGUAAAUCUUGAAUCCCUCGCAAGAAUAGUUAAAAUAGAUGCAAAAGUCAAUCGAGCUUUUAAUUCUUGAAAUUUUUUUCUCACAUUCAUUUGUCCAUUCAAAAUUGACAUUUUUUUAUGUCAAUCGAAUUAAUGGAUUCACAAUUCGAGAGAAUCCUUCUACAAAUCUUCUGUAAUAUCAUGUCAGCCCUAAAAAGCUUCGGACUUCAGUCACAUUACUUGGUUGCUUCCAAUUAAUCACAGCUUCAACCUUUAAAGGAUCAACAGAUAAACCUUCCUUUGAUAUCACAUGACCUAAAAAUGUCACUUGUUCUAACCAAAUUCACAUGUACUUAGUUUGUCAUACAACUUAUUUUCUCUUAGUAUUUGUAAUAUCGUCUUCACAUGUUGCUCGUGCUCUUCCCGAUUCUUGGAAUAAAUUAGAAUAUCGUCAAUGAAUACUACAACAAACUAAUCCAAAAAGGGCUUAAAGAUUUGAUUCAUCAAAUUUAUAAAUGCAACUCGUAUAUUGGUUAAUCCAAAAGGCAUAACUAACAAUUCAUAAUGGCCAUAUCUUGUCCUGAAAAUUGUUUUGGAAACAUCAUCACUUAUAAUUUUAAGCUGAUGGUACUCAGAUCUGAGAUCAUUUUUUUAAAAUACUUGUGAUCCUUGUAAUUGAUCAAAUAAAUCAUCAAUUGUAGGUAGUGGAUACUUGUUUUUCACAAUUACCUGGUUUAGCUGUCUGUAGUCAAUACACAACCUAAUGGACCCAUCUUUCUUUUUAACGAACAAUACCGGAGCACCCCAAGGUGACACACUAGGUCGAAUAAAAACAUUUAUCUAAUAAUUCUUACAAUUGUUAUCUAAGUUCCUUAAAUUCUAUAGGUGCCAUUCGGUAAAAGGCUUUAGAUAUUGGGGCUGUCCCGGGAAGCAACUCAAUAGAGAAUUCAAUUUCCUUGUUAAGUGGUAAACCUGACAAUUCUCAGGAAACACAUCAGGAAAUUCCCGAAGAACCGGAAUGUCAUCCAAGUUCAUCUUUUCUUUUCUAUCUUCUUUAACAUAGGCAAGAAAGCCUUGACAUCACCUUCGAAGGAAGUGGUUAGCCUGAAUGGAGGAAAUUAAAUAUAGUGGGGAAGCUUCCUUGACACCUUCCAAGUAAAAUACCAAUUGAUUUGGAAUGCAAAAGGUAACUAUUUUCUUGUAACAAUCAACACUUACAUGGUAGGCAAAGAAUCAAUCUAUGUCUAAGAUUACAUCAAAAUCUUGAAUUUCUAAAAGUACUAAAUCCACCAAUAGUUUCUUUUAUUCUAUCAUUAUUACAUAAGAUUUGUAUAUUAAAUUGGUUACAAUUGAAUUUCCCAUACGUGUGGCUACCUCUAAAAUGUAUUCCAAUUGUUCUAGUUCUACUUUUAAGUGGCAUGUACAUCUUGGUGGCAUAAAUGAAUGAGUAGAUCCAAGAUCAAUUAAAACAUAAGCUAUAUCUUGAAAGAUAGUAAGAGUACAUUGAAUCACUGAUUUUGAAGCUUGGGCAUCCUGCUAUGUGAUUGCAAAUACUCAUCCUUUCAUUUGGGGUUUGUGAGUUGCUUCACCAUGCUUUGAAUGUUGUUGCAUUUGCAUAAUAGGACAAUAUUUGAUCUUGUGCCCCAGCUCCCCACAUUUGAAACAGGCUCCAGUCUUCUAAUAACAGAGUGUUAACCCAUGCUUCUUCCCACAUUUCUUACAAGGUUCCGGUAGGCUUUGGAGUGACUUCAGUCUUAGCCUUUUGUUUGCCCUUUCUGAUUCUUUUCAUUUUUGUCAAUUAGAUGGUAUGGGUCUAAUCCGACUUUUCUGGUUUUUCCUCUUUUGGAAGUCUUCGCAGUCUUUCUCAAUAAUUUGGGCUCGAUCCACUAUCUCAGCAUAAGUUCUUAAUUUUAGGGUUGAUAUUCUCCCUCUGAUGAUUGGUCUGAGGCCACUUUCAAAAUUUUUUACCUUUCUUGUCUUAUAAUUGAUCAUAUGUAGGGCAAACCUGGCCAAUUCAGUAAACUUGGCCUCAUACUAUGCUAUUGUUUUGUUCCCUUAGACUAGUUUUAGAAAUUCUAUUUUUUUUUAAUCUCGAAUAAAAUCUGGAAAUUACUUUUCAUUGAAUGUUUCUCAAAAUUUUGUUCCCAAGUCAAAGGUUUGUUUUCGAGGACCAAUACUCUUUUUGUUAUCUGCCACCAAUGUUCUGCUUCACCUUCCAACAUAAAAACUGCCAAGGUGACAUUCUUAACAUCAAGACAUUCUAUUACUUCAAAUAUUUUCUCUAAUUGCAUAAUCCAUCCAUCGGCUUCUAAUGGAUCGGCAGCACCCUUAAAGGUAGGUGGAUUUAAUUUCUUAAAUAAUUUGAUAUUAUACCCAUUAUUUCCCGUAACUGACUGUCUUGGUGGAUUAUUGUUCUCCCUUUGGUGCUGCAUAAGAGCAAUCAUAUUCUUCAAGGCUUUAUAAAUUCCCUCCAUGCUAGCUUUAGUCAUUCGGGAUCUUGACAUUGUACUUGUCUGUUCAUACAAUAAGUGUUAUAAUCUUCAAACUACUGCAAAGAAUUCUAUUAAAUUGAUUAAUCAAGAUAUACAAGACUCUGUAUAAAUAUAUGGCCAAGUAAUAUGUAUCCAUAUAGAAGGAUAUGCAUACUGAUAUGUAUCAGUAUGAUACAUAUCAUACAUAGAUACCACACCUAAUUUUAUCAAGAGAUAUGUAUCCAUACAAAUAAAUAUCCAUACUGAACGAUAUAAGCAGUAGUCUUCAUGCUCAUAUUGCUUGAACAACAAGCACAGAAAGAGGCAAACCUCAGGAACAGACGGCCUCAGGAACAUCUGAGAUCUCCGGAAUUGAGUAACGAAAAAUUCCAUCAACAACAGACAAACAGGUCUUCGGAAUUUUUGGGAUCGAGUAACGAAAAACUCGAUCAAUAGACAAGAUCGAAUAACGAAAAACACGAUCAUCAAACAUGAUCGAGUAAAGAAAAAUAUGAUCAUCAAACAAGAUCGAGUAACGGAAAACUCGAUCAUCUGAAAAGAUCAGGGUGGCUGAUGAGAGUUCAGACAAAUCACUCUGAGAUCAAGAUCUAGAGGCAAAACAAAGAGAGGGGCAAUUUUCCAAAUAGAGCAGAUCGAUCGUUUUCGUUGAUCAUUUUUCAGAGGUGAAUUUUACAAAUUAGCAAUCCUCAGAAACCGACGCCUCGAACAGAGCAGUCUCGCAUAACUCCAAAUCAAUAGGUCUCCGGAACAGACAAGAUUGAGUAACAAAGAAAAACUCGAUCAUCACACAGGAUGAAGUAACGGAAAACUCCAUCAUCUCAUUGGACUGAGUAAAAACAAAAACUCAAUCAUUAAACAUGAUCAAGUAAUGGAAACUUGAUCAUCAACCAGGAUCAAGAAAUUCGAUUAUCAAACAUGAGGCACUUAGGAGAGCCAAUAGAAGUCAGCAGCGGAUCAACAAAAACAGUUGGAUUUUAGAUUCAGAGUUAAGAAUAGUAAGAUCCCAAAUCGAUCAAAGAGUCGAAAUACAACUCGGUAAAGAGACAAAUUAGAGGGACCACAACAACAAUGGUUUACUUUUCAUAAAAUAGUAAAGAAUCUAGAGGUGUACUUGCUCAAAGAGCACUAUUUGCACGUGUAGAAUGAAAGAGAGGAUGCCCAACAAAAGAAAGAAUUUGCCCAAAUGAAGAGGCUUCCAUCUAUCAAAUGAAGGCAGGCUUUUUGGAGUAAUAAGAAACUUAGAGUUGCACUUUUUUCCCAAUAAAGUACGAAGUAGAGAGAGAGGGAAGCAGAGCCUUUUGUGCAUAAUAUGCAAUUUCCUCUUAGGGAAGAGAACUUCUUAUGGAUAGAAACAUUGUGAUGUAUCUCUUGUAGACUCCUAGAGAUUGAGAGGCUUGUUUUUGGAGAUUGAGAGGUUUGAUCCUGGAGAUUGAGGGGAUUGUUUCUUAUAAAGAAGCAAUUCCCAUUGAGAUUUUGGGUGGUUUCCCCUUUUAGUUAGAGAGAAAGUUAGUUUCUCGUUGAUCCCGCGUUUCUAUCUGGUGUUAUCUUCGUUGAUCCCGCGUCUCUAUCUGGUGUUAUCGGUAAUGGUUGCCAGAAGUAAAGAAACGGAAGGGGGAGUGGUUUAAAAGGGGUUUGCUUGACUCGAUUUUUGUCGAGGUUAGAGAAUUAACUCUUUGUUCCAAAAUCUUUGAUGUAACUUUCAUUGGUAUAGUGGAUUUCAGUUUGCUAUGUCCAUGGAUGUAGUUACAUCUGUGACGAACCACGUAAAAACAAUUGUUAUGAUUUUUUGACUACUACAGAGAACUCUAUUAAAUUGAUUAAUCAAGAAUAUAAAAGACUCCGUAUAAAUAUACAAACAAGAGAUAUGUAUCAAUACAGAUGGAUAUUCAUACUGAUAUGCAUCAGUAUGAUAAAUAUCAUACAUAGACACCACCUAAUCUUAUCAAGAGAUAUAUAUCCAUACAGAUACAUAUCGAUACUGAUACGUAUCAGUAUGAUACAUAUCCAUAUACAUACAUUAACAAUAAGUAUGACUUAGAGUAUAUUCCUAUUCAAAUUUCCUAGGAAUCCUAAACCUAUUGCUUUGAUACCAAAAUUGUCACACCCCAGGUUCGGUAAUACUAACAUUCUUGAGGUGUGACAGUCUAUCCUUAACAAAAUCGAAUUUUCUUUUAUAUAUUGCACAAGAUUGUUUGAUUUUCCAUUUAAAAAACUUUCAAAUUUGUACAAAGUCUACUUACAACUUAUAUUAACACAAAUAUCCAUUUAUAUACAUCUUUGAUAAGACAAAAGUUACAAAUGUAAGUUUAACUGUGACUACAAAGUUCUCCAUAGCUACUUCUGUUGUACUUUCGAAUAUUAAGGCUGCAAUUUAUUAUGAAAAGAAUUCACAUUAGUUUGAUGAGUUUGACUACUCAAUAAGUGGCCAUCAUAAUGCUUAAAAGCAAGCAUGGUUGACAAAUAUAGAUAUUUUCUGAAAGAAUGCAUAUUGAAAUAAUAUGAAGAAAAGCAGUCAAUGAGAACUAUUUCGAAUUCUUCAACAGAAAUAUACAGUUUUAAUAUAAUUUCAAAGAUUUGAAUAUAUAUUGAACAAUAUGAAGAAGAACACAAUUUAAAAUAAUUCAAAAGUUUUUUAAAUACCGUACUAGCGUCUCAAGUAGGUCACCUAUGUACCCCUCCAGCGUCCUGAAUUGAUCCACUUAAUCCUUACUGACGUACCAGAUAGGUCUACUUAUAUCUCACAGGCAUCCCAGAUGAGUUCACUUAUUCCCUACUGGUGUACCAGAUAGGUCCACUUAUAUCUCACCGACAUACCGGAUGAGUCCACUUAUUCCUUACCGGCGUACCAGAUAGGUCCACUAAGAACUCACCGGCAUACCGGAUGAGUCCACUUAUUCCCUAACGAUGUAUCAGAUAAGUCCACUUGUAUAUUUAAAAUAACGAUGAAACUCUUUAUCACUAAAUAUCAGGAAACAAUAAUAUCGUAUAUUCAAAAUAUUCUUGAAAUCAUUAACAUGAAUUCACAUGAAGCAAUAUAGAGCAAUCACUUUCACUGAUAUUUAUAUAAAUAACCAGUCAAAUAUUUGGGGCUAAAUUUCUUAAAUGUAGUUUCAGAAAGGUUGCAGUUCUGCGCGACAUUCUUAAAAAUUGAAAUUUAACAUGAUAAGCAGUCUAUUGAGUAUAAUAUUAUUUUUUUGGGAAUAUUAUGAGAGAGAGAAAAAUCAUUUGUUAUGAGAGAAUCAUUAUGAAAAUAAUAUUAUUUUUAUGAAAACAUUAUGAGAAUAAUAUUAUUUUUAUGAGAAUAUUAUGAGGGAGAAAAAAACUAUUUGUUAGGAGAGAAAGAGCAUGAGGAGAGAGAGAGAGAUAAAAAAUCAUUAAGAGAGAGAAUAAGGACUAACAUAUGGGAGGAGAGAAAAAGAGCAAUUGUGUUGGGCUAAUGAUGGGCCUAUGAUGGGUAUUUGUAAGUGAGGAUGAUCAAUCUUCAUUUGACAUAUGUCAAACAUGUGUCUUUUUUCUUACUUGCAUAUGUGUUACCUCAUGACACAUCAUUAUUUUAUAAUAAUACUUUAUGAGCCAUCAUGCUUUUAUAAUGUCACCUUAUGACACAUCACUAUCUUAUAAUAAUACUUUAUAACACAUCAUCCUCUUAUAAUGUCACCUUAUGGCACAUAACUUUAUAUUUAAUUAUCUUAAUUUAAUUAAAAUGAAAAGGGAAAGUUUAGGGUGGUUCCAUGGUGUAUUCAUAACAUAGUGAACUAUUAUUCAAAAUUAUAACUAUUUUAUAGUUUAUUAUUAUUAUUUUUAUUAUUUUUUAGUUCCAAAAAUAUUUGUGGUCAUCACACAUUAACUCUAUUUUUUACAAAAACGCAUAUCACAUUGUCUAUAAUAUUGUUUAGUGAUUGCUUGAAUUUUUUGUAAGAUUGGAUGCAGCUUAUUUGGCUAAUCCACUUGUCCAAAUUGUUGAUUUGUGGAUCCAUAUCAAUUUACCAUAUGACUAAUACAGGUCAUCGAUCUGAUGUUUCAAAUAUUCCUUCGCACCACUAUUCAUCUAUGAUCUACUAACCCCUGACAGAUUUAGAACUUCCAACCUAUCGCUCAAUCUUUAGAAAGCCAUAAAACACUCCACCUUCUACAUUGGCCUUAUGUAAAUGGUAAGCUGCAUCAAAUAAUUACAAAGGUAGUUUUGUUUCCCCCUCAUCUUUUUGGGAUGUUUUUGUUGGGACAUGUAAUUGUACUCUUUCAUGAGCAUAUAUUAUACAUUUAUUCCCUCGGUCGACAUGAGAUUUUGUUUUUUUUUUUUUUUGAAAUUUCUUGAUCUAAUUUUUAUAAUUAGGAUGUUAUAUUAUUGGAAAAAGUAUAUAUAAGGUUGCAACCUUAAAUGUAGAACUAAAGUUGCACCUCAAAAAUCGUUUAUAAAAUUAACCGGCAUAUGUAGAAAUGCGGGCCUCCUAAUAAACCUAGUUUUGAGAUGGAUUUCAAGACUUAAUUUUUAAGGGCAUGUGAUCUCUAACAUGAAGAUCAUGAAUAUGAAAAAAUAAAUAAAUUUUAAAACCUAAAAUUAAUAAUUCUAGCAUGAAAACAUUUGGGUUGUUAGUUUCUAUUGUUUUUAGAUGGAACACCUACUUGCAUCCAUCUUUAGGAUGGAUGUUUCACACUUUUUGGACCGCAUAUAUAGAAAUGUGGUUCAGCCUGCAUGAAACAAAAUUUUCCCUCUAAUUGAUCUUAUCGACAUCAAGAUGUAUGACUAUGAAAGAAGAAAAAUAUUUCGAGUCCACGAAAUAAUGUACCUUGCAACACAUUAUCUGGACUGUCCAUUUUCAAGAUUUUUAUGUGUUUGUAGAUCUACUUGAUUUGAACUAUUUUUAGAGUUUAAAAUUCUAUAACUAGAGAUGAAAAUAGAUUCUCAAGCUAUCCUAAGAAUUUUUUAUGUCAAAAUUACAUUUAUGAUAAAAUUUAGAGGUGCGCUUUAAUUGGAUUGUUUAAAGUUGCAACCUUAUACAAACUACACCCUAUAUUAUUAUAACAUUUAUCUUUAUCACAAAGAGGUUAAAUUACUCAUAGUCAUUAGAUGUUAAAUUGGAUGGCUUGGAGUAUGUCACAAAGUUCGAGAAUUUUCUUCUUAUUUUUUUAAACUUUAAGUUUAGUAAGCAAUAUGUUUAAAACCACUUGAGAGUUAAAAUCUAAAGAACAAGAGUGACUGUAACCUCCUUGUGCUAAAAGUAAAUUAUUUCAUUGUAUACUUUUCUUUUAGGGGAAAUUACAAAAAAACCCCAAGACUACGCUUUCUAUGCAACUUACCCCCAACCUAACUUAUUCUCACUUUUUUCCCCAAAACAAACUUUCUAUGCAAAUAUCCCGAAGGGAAAAAGUUCAUUUCUUUUAACGGAAAUGCCUUUCCUGUACAAAAAAAUCAAUUUGGCCAGAUUUGACGUUGACUAUCGACCCCAGUAGCACAUUGCCGGAGCAGACCAUCGCAUUGCCGGACCGAAAUUGAAUACUGUCGGAUCGCCCUUUAUAACUGUCGGAGCCCAGUGACUCAGAAGUUCUACUACCGGAUCACCUUUUGCAAUUGUCGGAGCGCUGUGACUCCAGGACAUGUACUGCCAGACCGCCCUUUGCAACUGUCGGUGCGUUGUGACUCCAGAACAUAUACUGUCGAACCGCACUUUACAACUGCUAGAGCGCUAUGAUUCCAAAACAUGUACUACUUGACUACGCUUUACAACUGCCAGAGCGUUGUGACUCCAGUACAUGUACUACCAGACCGCCCUUUACAACGGUCGGAGCAUUGUGACUCACGAAAGUUGUACUGCCAGUCCAACCUUUGCAACUGCCAACGUGCUGUGACUCCAGAACAUGUAUUAUUGAACCACCCUUUUCAAUUGCUGGAGCCCAAUGACUCCGAAGUUUUACUGCCAGACCGCCCUUUGCAACUGUUGGAGCGUUGUGACUCCAGAAAAUGUAUUGUCGGACCGCACUUUGAAAUUUUUGAAGCGAUGUGACUCCAGAACAUGUACUGUCAGACCGCCUUUUGCAACUGCUGGAGCGCUGUGACUCCAGGACAUGUACUGUCGGACCUCCCUUUUCAACUACUGAAGCGUUGUGACUCCAGAACAUGUACUAUCAGACUGCCCUUUGCAAUUGUCAGAGCGCUGUGACUCAGAAGUUUUACUGUUGGAUUGUCUUUUGCAACUGCCAUAGCGUUGUGAUUCCAAAACAUGUACUGUCGGACCGCCCUUUGCCACUGAUGGAGCCCAUUGACUCAAAAGUUCUACUGCCAGACCGUGCUUUGCAACUGCUGGAAUAAUGUGACUCCAAAACAUGUACUACUGGAGCACUGUGACUCUAGAACAUGUAUUGCCGGACCGCACUUACACAGUGCCGAAGCACUGUGAUUCCAGAAACUCUUUCUUCUGGACCACCCUCAUAGAUUACCAGACCCUUUUCUCUCUCUGUCCCUCAAUCUUUUUUUUUGUUUUUGCUUUUGGGUGGUGUUACAUGUUAGCUAAUAAUAAGAAGAACUGGAGUUACGUGUUGCUUUUAGGUGGUGGUGACAUUGUUUUUAAGUGGUGACAUUGUUUUUAAGUGCCAGAUGGAUUUGAUGUUGUUUUUAAGUGCCAGAUGGAUUUGAUGUCAGCUUCUUUUUCACAUUCCAGCUUCUUCAUCAUUUCUAUUUGAGGAAGGAAUAGAUUUAACCAUAACAAUUUUUCAUCGAUUACUACAUUUGAUUGGAGUUCUCCAUAGAAAAUACACUAAAUCAAUUUGUUAUCACUCAUUUUCUUUUGUCUUGCACAAGAUUUGUAAUAAUUUACACUCCACACAUUGAACUUGCCCAAGUUUGGUAGGCUCAACUAGGUCUUUUCAAAAGAGCUACAACUAAAUUUUAACAAGAGGUAUGUAGGCAUAUUGUUGGUGGUAUAUAACCUAAAAAAACAUUUCUAACAAUGCUUAUCUGAAAUUGCACUCGUAACAAUUUCACCCUGUUAAUGUCUAGAUUUUUUAGUAAAUUAUGAAAAAUAGUAUUGAAAUAAAGAGCCUCAAAAGAGGACCCAACUUUUAAGAUGAACAUGCAAUUCAAUAUUUCUACAAAGUAAGAACUAGUUCAUAUCCAAGUUAAACUAGCACAAUGCCUUUCUUUUGCGAAAUGAAACAAAACUAAAUGACUUUGUAGACCUGAAUUCGAAUGCAUUUGAAAUUGGAUAAAAACCUUAUCCUAAAUUUCUAGUAUAUAAAUAAUACUAUUUAUCUAAGCUAUAGCUAAGCAAUACCAUUUCUCUAAGCUAAAGUUCAAUCUAACAAUGUAGAUAAGCACAAUAUAUACAACUAGCAAUAUAGACAUUCCUAAAGUCAGUUUUUUGGGUUUGUCUUUUGUUUUAAAGAACUACUACUAAAAUUAGCAAGAGCUAGGCAUUUUUUUUUUUUUAAUGAUAAACUAAAUUUGAACAAGAGAAAAAGGAUGGAUCAUCAAAUAAAAAACAAUUGAUGCAAAGAUAACCAUGAGAAAAUAGAUACAGUAAAAUAAACCCAAAAUUUACUACAACCAAGAACAUUCAAGCCCUAAAAUCACAAUAGAGAAACAAUGACACACUCCAUAACAAUUUAAUAAGAAAAACUACAAUAAUUCUUAAGCCAUGAGCAAUCAAUUGAGAUCAAAUAACUGAAUGAUUUUCAAUCUAAAAAGAACCCAAAAUUUCCUACCACCAAGGACAUUCUAGCCUAAAAAUGACAAUAGAAAAUAGAGAAAAAAAACCAAACUCCAUAACAAAUUCAAAAGGAAAAUUUCAAUAAUUCUUAUGCCAUGAGCAAUCAAUUUAGAUCAAACGAUUGAAUGAUUUUCAAUCUAAAAAAAACCCAAAAUUUCCUACCACCAAGAUCAUUCUAACCCUAAAAUGACAACAGAGAAAAAAUGCCAAACUCCAUAACAAAUUCAUAAGAAAAACUUCAAUAAUUCUUAAGUCAAGAGCAAUCCAUCUCUUCAUUGUCAAUGAUAGAUCAAAUACAACAAAUUUCAACAAACAAUAACCCAACAACAGAUUUUAGCGAUUUUAUUCCAUAAAUAUGCUAUAUAUUUAUUUAAUAAAAAAUAGUUAAAAAACUCUUUCAUACUUUUGAUGGGGCUGAUUUAGGGCAGAGAGAUUGAGCUAAAAAUCGUGCUUGGGCUUGGGCUGGGGCAAAGAAAUUGAGAACUUGAGCCGUUUCACAAAGAGAGAGAGGGUGGGCCUUCAGUCCUUUGAAGAGGGAGAGGAAGAGAGCUCGGGCCGAGAGAGAGAGUGAGAGAGAGGGAGGUCUGGCCAGGAGAGAGAGCGAGAGACAGGGAAGAAGCUCGUUCUGAG